GACGAGCGCUGGCGGCGUGCUUAACACAUGCAAGUCGAACGGAAAGGCCCUGCUUUUGUGGGGUGCUCGAGUGGCGAACGGGUGAGUAACACGUGAGUAACCUGCCCUUGACUUUGGGAUAACUUCAGGAAACUGGGGCUAAUACCGGAUAGGAGCUCCUGCUGCAUGGUGGGGGUUGGAAAGUUUCGGCGGUUGGGGAUGGACUCGCGGCUUAUCAGCUUGUUGGUGGGGUAGUGGCUUACCUAGGCUUUGACGGGUAGCCGGCCUGAGAGGGUGACCGGCCACAUUGGGACUGAGAUACGGCCCAGACUCCUACGGGAGGCAGCAGUGGGGAAUAUUGCACAAUGGGCGGAAGCCUGAUGCAGCAACGCCGCGUGCGGGAUGACGGCCUUCGGGUUGUAAACCGCUUUCGCCUGUGACGAAGCGUGAGUGACGGUAAUGGGUAAAGAAGCACCGGCUAACUACGUG
rnacentral:rRNA from 1 species